rnacentral:rRNA from 1 species
GUGUCAGCAGCCGCGGUAAUACGAAGGGUGCAAGCGUUAAUCGGAAUUACUGGGCGUAAAGCGUGCGUAGAUGGUUCACUCAGUCGGAUGUGAAAGCCCCGGGCUCAACCUGGGAACUGCAUCCGAUACUGGUGGACUAGAGUGCGGUAGAGGAUGGCGGAAUUCCCGGUGUAGCGGUGAAAUGCGUAGAGAUCGGGAGGAACAUCCGUGGCGAAGGCGGCCAUCUGGACCAGCACUGACGUUGAGGCACGAAAGCGUGGGGAGCAAACAGGAUUAGAAACCCCUGUAGUCC